GUAGGGAAUCUUCGGCAAUGGACGAAAGUCUGACCGAGCAACGCCGCGUGAGUGAAGAAGGUUUUCGGAUCGUAAAACUCUGUUGGUAGAGAAGAACGUUGGUGAGAGUGGAAAGCUCAUCAAGUGACGGUAACUACCCAGAAAGGGACGGCUAACUACGUGCCAGCAGCCGCGGUAAUACGUAGGUCCCGAGCGUUGUCCGGAUUUAUUGGGCGUAAAGCGAGCGCAGGUGGUUUAUUAAGUCUGGUGUAAAAGGCAGUGGCUCAACCAUUGUAUGCAUUGGAAACUGGUAGACUUGAGUGCAGGAGAGGAGAGUGGAAUUCCAUGUGUAGCGGUGAAAUGCGUAGAUAUAUGGAGGAACACCGGUGGCGAAAGCGGCUCUCUGGCCUGUAACUGACACUGAGGCUCGAAAGCGCGGGGAGCAAACAGGAUUAGAUACCCCGGUAGUCC
rnacentral:rRNA from 1 species